UCUUUUCCUUUUGUUUCAGCCGCCGCGGUAAUACGGAAGGUCCGGGCGUUAUCCGGAUUUAUUGGGUUUAAAGGGAGCGUAGGCCGGAGAUUAAGCGUGUUGUGAAAUGUAGACGCUCAACGUCUGCACUGCAGCGCGAACUGGUUUCCUUGAGUACGCACAAAGUGGGCGGAAUUCGUGGUGUAGCGGUGAAAUGCUUAGAUAUCACGAAGAACUCCGAUUGCGAAGGCAGCUCACUGGAGCGCAACUGACGCUGAAGCUCGAAAGUGCGGGUAUCGAACAGG
rnacentral:rRNA from 1 species